UACGGGGGGGGGCAAGCGUUGUUCGGAAUUACUGGGCGUAAAGGGCUCGUAGGCGGCCAACUAAGUCGGAUGUGAAAUCCCCAGGCUCAACCCAGGAACUGCGUCCGAUACUGGCAGGCUUGAAUCCGGGAGAGGGAUGUGGAAUUCCAGGUGUAGCGGUGAAAUGCGCAGAUAUCAGGAGGAACACCAGGUGGCGAAGGCGGUCUCACUGG
rnacentral:rRNA from 1 species